UACGUAGGUGGCAAGCGUUGUCCGGAUUUACUGGGUGUAAAGGGCGUGCAGCCGGAGAGACAAGUCAGAUAUGAAAUCCACGGGCUCAACCCGUGAACUGCAUUUGAAACUGUUUCCCUUGAGUGUCGGAGAGGUGAUCGGAAUUCCUAGUGUAGCGGUGAAAUGCGUAGAUAUUAGGAAGAACACCAGUGGCGAAGGCGGAUUACUGGACGAUAACUGACGGUGAGGCGCGAAAGCGUGGGGAGCAAACAGG
rnacentral:rRNA from 1 species